CUUAACGUCUUAGCGCGGUGGUCCCACCUGACCCCAUGCCGAACUCAGAAGUGAAACGCCGUAGCGCCGAUGGUAGUGUGGGGUCUCCCCAUGCGAGAGUAGGGAACUGCCAGGC
rnacentral:rRNA from 1 species